rnacentral:rRNA from 1 species
GGGAACGAAAAGGACUGUGCCAAUACCACGGUUCGAUGACGGUACCCGCAGAAUAAGCACCGGCUAACUACGUGCCAGCAGCCGCGGUAAUACGUAGGGUGCAAGCGUUAAUCGGAAUUACUGGGCGUAAAGAGUGCGCAGGCGGUUUUGCAAGACCGAUGUGAAAUCCCCGGGCUUAACCUGGGAACUGCAUUGGUGACUGCAAGGCUAGAGUGUGUCAGAGGGAGGUGGAAUUCCGCGUGUAGCAGUGAAAUGCGUAGAUAUGCGGAGGAACACCGAUGGCGAAGGCAGCCUCCUGGGAUAACACUGACGCUCAUGCACGAAAGCGUGGGGAGCAAACAGGAUUAGAUACCCUGGUAGUCCACGCCCUAAACGAUGUCUACUAGUUGUCGGGGAUUAAUUUCCUUGGUAACGCAGCUAACGCGUGAAGUAGACCGCCUGGGGAGUACGGUCGCAAGAUUAAAACUCAAAGG